GGUUGUGUACCUCAGUGGUAAAGUGCUCACCUUGCACAUGAGAGGCACUGGGUUCAAUCCCCAGCACCACAU
rnacentral:tRNA from 1 species